rnacentral:lncRNA from 10 species
GGAAGGGUGAGAAUUUCUCGCACACUCUCUCCUAGAGCUUGGCAGUGCUUGUCUGUCCGUGGAUGUCAGAGCUCUAGGUCUUCCACCUUUGUACUCUAGGACUCAUACCAGCAGUUCCUAGGCUCUCCAGCCUUCAGCCUUGGACUGAGAAUGUUACCACCAGCUUCCCUGAUUCCCAGGCCUUCGGACUUGGUCUGAACCACACUACCGGCUUUCUUGGUUCUUCAGCUUCCAGAUGGCCUAUUGUGGGAUUUCUCAGCCUCUGUAAUUGUAGUCUUCAGGUUUUUCCAUAUAUAACAUCAUAUCAUCUGCAAACAAGGACAAUCUGACUUCUUCCUUUAUGAACUUUGGAGAAGUUUCCUGUCUGUAAAAAGGAGUCUCCCAUCAGCCUUUGCAGGGAAUUUUUACAGGUCAGCUGCUGCUCCUGGAAGCCAGCAGGUCUUCCUCCAUCAUACAAAAGACAAAUACAUGCAAAGCAGUUUCUAACAGAAGGACUCUCUCUCACCAUAGACAUCAAAGCUGGGAAUGUGCUGAAUUUCACCUGAAGUCAGCAAGUCUGUCUCACCCAAGGCCCUCAACAUAGUACUUGCUUAUUGCUGCUGGUUCUUCAAGGUCCAAAUGCUCUUCAGUUAGCAGGGCAGUCCUGGAUUCAGUGCCUCGCAUUUGUGGUGCUCUCCCUCUCCCCAUUGCAAGGAAACACUCUCUGCACCAUGCUGCCCCUGCCAGGGGAUGGGAGACGGAUGGUGUCAGUGAUUUAAGAUUUCUUUCCUACCUAAGUGCCUCUUUCAGGAAUAUAAAGUUAAAACCAGGUACUGUGAAUACUAACCUGAUUUUUGUGGUUCUUAUGAAGGUGCUUUUUUUGUGUAGACAGUUGUUAAAUUGGUGUCUUUGUGUGAGAGACAAUUGGUGGAGCCUUCUUUCUCUGCCCCAACUCCCUAUAGGGUAUUUAGUAGCAUUCCUGGUCCAUACUAAUUAGAUGAAAGUAGCAACUGCUUUCACCCUCAUUUGUUGCAAUUAAAAAUAUCUCCAAACAUUGCCAAAUGUCUUCCCAGAGGAAAAAUCAACACUGGCUUAGAAUGACUAUUGUAGAUAUAUUUUAUAGGCAAAGCCAAAAAAAAAAAAAAAAAGGACUGGAAAGAGAUGUGUCCAGUGUGAUGCAUUAAUUGGAAGACAGUUAAACUUUUGUCACUAUCAGACAAAGCAAAUAAUCCAGGGUGUGUUGGUGAGCAUUGUUCAAUGAGGUAACCCAGGAAACAGCUUUCGGGGGUGGAAGCAUUGCCAUACCAAAUAUAUCUGAUUUAUUAGGUAGCUCACAAGAACUGAAACAAAUUUUUAACUUGUAGAAAGGCCAAAGAACAUAUGAAGAUUAAACAACAUCAAUUUUAAG